rnacentral:rRNA from 1 species
GGGCCCGCACAAGCAGUGGAGCAUGUGGUUUAAUUCGAUGCAACGCGAAGAACCUUACCAGGGCUUAAAUGUAGUGGGACAGGUCUAGAGAUAGACCCUUCUUCGGACUCAUUACAAGGUGCUGCAUGGUUGUCGUCAGCUCGUGCCGUGAGGUGUCAGGUUAAGUCCUAUAACGAGCGCAACCCCUAUCGUUAGUUGCCAGCGGGUCAUGCCGGGAACUCUAGCGAAACUGCCGGUGCAAACCGAGAGGAAGGUGGGGAUGACGUCAAAUCAUCACGGCCCUUACGUCCUGGGCCACACACGUGCUACAAUGGCCGGUACAGAGAGCAGCCACUACGCGAGUAGGAGCGAAUCUACAAAACCGGUCUCAGUUCGGAUCGCAGUCUGCAACUCGACUGCGUGAAGCUGGAAUC